rnacentral:rRNA from 1 species
AGACCCGAAACCCGGUGAUCUAGCCAUGGGCAGGUUGAAGGUUGGGUAACACUAACUGGAGGACCGAACCGACUAAUGUUGAAAAAUUAGCGGAUGACCUGUGGCUGGGGGUGAAAGGCCAAUCAAACCGGGAGAUAGCUGGUUCUCCCCGAAAGCUAUUUAGGUAGCGCCUCGUGAAUUCAUCUCCGGGGGUAGAGCACUGUUUCGGCUAGGGGGCCAUCCCGGCUUACCAACCCGAUGCAAACUGCGAAUACCGGAGAAUGUUAUCACGGGAGACACACGGCGGGUGCUAACGUCCGUCGUGAAGAGGGAAACAACCCAGACCGCCAGCUAAGGUCCCAAAGUCAUGGUUAAGUGGGAAACGAUGUGGGAAGGCCCAGACAGCCAGGAUGUUGGCUUAGAAGCAGCCAUCAUUUAAAGAAAGCGUAAUAGCUCACUGGUCGAGUCGGCCUGCGCGGAAGAUGUAACGGGGCUAAACCAUGCACCGAAGCUGCGGCAGCGACGUUUAUGCGUUGUUGGGUAGGGGAGCGUUCUGUAAGCCUGCGAAGGUGGCCUGUGAGGGUUGCUGGAGGUAUCAGAAG